rnacentral:ncRNA from 2 species
UGUAGCUACCCACCAGCUUGUGGCCCGUUGGGCCUUGAUAGGGAAGACGGUGUGAAUCCGUCGCGGACCCGCCGCCGUAACCGAGGACGAACGCCGAUAGUAUGUCACUGUCCGCAAGGAUGGGAAGACGCGGCAAGUAGAACGAUUCGGAAGCCGGAAGACCUGCUUGCUUGCGAUUUGUUCU